UGAUGGCAGAUGAGUGAUGAAUCUCAAGUUGUUUUUCUCGACCAAACUGCGUACGGAAGGCAAUGUUGGCAUUUUUCCACCUGCAUAAACCUAACAUCAAAUCAGAUUCGACCUGUGGAUGGAGUUUGGAGCAGUCACAGGAUCACCUCUUAUGUGUCGUAGAGUGUCCAAGCUGAUAAGAUCGAAAAUCACACCCUACACUGCCAUGAAUGUGGUAACAAGUUUCCCGUACAGAUCAUUGCCAGUCCCAUUAGGCACAAACAAUAAAUUUGUAUGAAUUCGUAAGUAAAUAAAAAUAAAUAUUUUCUUAACAUUAUAGGCAAUAUAAGUUCAAUGUGUAUCACUAAAAGUGUUCCGCCACUGCGACAGACACAAAUAAACCCACAUUAGUUUGUAAUGGGAGGGCUAAGAAGUCAAAUAUGGACUACAUAAUAUUGAUAAGUGGGAAAAGGACAGAAUUCGGGACGUAAGUCGUUUAUCAUAGCCGUAUAUUCAGAGACCGUGCAUAAUAAACACAUUUUAUCUAUA